ensembl:lncRNA
CUUUUGUGGCAGUGUCACUUGAGGUAAGGCUGCUUCACUUCAACUGGGCUAGAAGAGAACAGAGUGUAUACUGUGUCCCUAUACUCUAGUUGAUGUGCUCUUGUGCCCUCUGGAGGCGUGGGAUGGGUUUACCAAAGAUGGUUCAGUACAUGCCCCAGAAGUUAUUGGUUCAGGUCUUCUGGCCCCGUUACAAUAAUACUUGAAAAGGGCAUCAUACAUUUCCCCCUUCCUUGAAAGAAUCACAUUCAUAUAAGUUCAGUUGUUAUCAUCAUAGACUGUAUUUGGUUCAUAUUCUGAUAUAUUCGAAAGAAGGGAUAUUCCUCUGCUGUGUGGUCAAUGACCCAUGUCAAUUUCCCAUGUCAAUUUCCCAUGUCAAUUUCCCAUGUCAAUGCCCCAAGUCAAUGCCCCAUGUCAAUGCCCCAUGUCAAUGCCCCAUGUCAAUGACCCAUGUCGUAGCGUCUCCCUUUCCCAAGAGGUCAGUAAUAAGAGCUGUGACUGACCAAAACAAAAUGCCUCUGCACAUCUGCUACACAUCUGCUACAAGAUCAGAGUAGUGCAGAAGGUGUCUUAAGCUGAGGCAAAGAAGACAAAACGAGGAAGAUUGGUAAGGUUGGCUCCUUAGUGUUCAUAGAGAGUGAUAGGAAUAACAAGCGUUUCAGUAAGGUUAGCUCCUUAGCGUUCAUAGCCAUGGUUAUCAACUGUAAUGGAAUCACAGAGAAUAGAUGUGUUGGCAGCUGAUGAAAAGUACUGGGGUUACGAGAUUGGACUGCAGAAGAGUUACAAGGUGUUUUGAACGAGAAGAUGUCGGCCUGGUGUAGGAUCAGAUCGGGUCAAGUAGAGGAAUAGUGGUGAGAUUUGAAUAGGUGUAGGGUUAGUUGGUAUAGUGGUGUAGGGUUAGUUGGUAUAGCAGUGAGGUUUUAAUGGGUGUAGGGUUAGUUGGUAUAGCAGUGAGGUGUUAAUGGGUGUAGGGUUAGUUGGUAUAGUGGUGAGGUUUUAAUGGGUGUAGGGUUAGUUGGUAUAGUGGUGUGGUUUUAAUGGGUGUAGGGUUAGUUGGUAUAGCAGUGAGGUGUUAAUGGGUGUAGGGUUAGUUGGUAUAGUAGUGAGGUGUUAAUGGGUGUAGGGUUAGUUGGUAUAGUGGUGAGGUUUUAAUGGGUGUAGGGUUAGUUGGUAUAGUGGUGUAGGGUUAGUUGGUAUAGUGGUGUAGGGUUAGUUGGUAUAGCAGUGAGGUGUUAAUGGGUGUAGGGUUAGUUGGUAUAGUGGUGUGGUUUUAAUGGGUGUAGGGUUAGUUGGUAUAGCAGUGAGGUUUUAAUGGGUGUAGGGUUAGUUGGUAUAGCAGUGAGGUUUUAAUGGGUGUAGGGUUAGUUGGUAUAGUGGUGUGGUGUUAAUGGGUGUAGGGUUAGUUGGUAUAGUGGUGUGGUGUUAAUGGGUGUCGGGUUAGUUGGUAUAGCAGUGAGGUGUUAAUGGGUGUAGGGUUAGUUGGUAUAGUGGUGUAGGGUUAGUUGGUAUAGUGGUGUAGGGUUAGUUGGUGUAGGGUUAGUUGGUAUAGCAGUGAGGUGUUAAUGGGUGUAGGGUUAGUUUGUAUAGCAGUGAGGUGUUAAUGGGUGUAGGGUUAGUUGGUAUAGUGGUGAGGUUUUAAUAGUUG